rnacentral:rRNA from 1 species
AACGAACGCUGGCGGCAUGCCUAACACAUGCAAGUCGAACGAGACCUUCGGGUCUAGUGGCGCACGGGUGCGUAACGCGUGGGAACCUGCCCUUAGGUUCGGAAUAACUCCCCGAAAGGGGUGCUAAUACCGGAUAAUGUCUUCGGACCAAAGAUUUAUCGCCUUUGGAUGGGCCCGCGUUGGAUUAGCUAGUUGGUAGGGUAAAAGCCUACCAAGGCGACGAUCCAUAGCUGGUCUGAGAGGAUGAUCAGCCACACUGGGACUGAGACACGGCCCAGACUCCUACGGGAGGCAGCAGUGGGGAAUAUUGGAAAAUGGGCGAAAGCCUGAUCCAGCAAUGCCGCGUGAGUGAUGAAGGCAUUAGGGUUGUAAAGCUCUUUUACCCGGGAUGAUAAUGACAGUACCGGGAGAAUAAGCUCCGGCUAACUCCGUG